rnacentral:sRNA from 1 species
AGUUGAGAACCGUUACUUGACUGGUACCUCCAGCCCACCAGCAGGCAAUGAUGGCAUCAGACUAGAGGAUCACCAGUAAAUCAUUGUAAACAAAGGAGCCAACAGAGUGAGAUGAAGGGGACAACUUCAGAUACUCAGGCAGAAGCAUAAGUCCCCACCUGCUGACCUGCUGCCUGCUAUCUUAACACGAAUUCUUCAUCUGAAUGGAUGAGCUUUUCACAGAGCUGAAUGCACACCUGGCCCAAGAGCUGGAGAAGCUAAAGGCGGGACCAGGGAAAGGUGGAGCGGUUGCAGACUCAGCUGCUGGCCCACAUCAACAAGGUGAGCCAGCAGAUCCUUCCACCCCACUUGCUGAUACAGCUUCAACAAAGAAGGGUGUUCACCAACUGACUACAAGAAUCAUUGCUAACCAGGGAUGACUCAUUCUCACAUCCAUCCUAAAUAGACUUCCUUGGAUACAAAAAAUCCAGAGUUUGCCGUAUCUCCAUGGACACUGUCAUUUAGACAGGACACUUACUUCUUGGGAAACUCACUUCCAUUUUCCUAAUAAGGUUCCCUUUGAAGACUAAGAAUUUCUCCAAGACAAAAUUCAUGUAAGCCAAAAUACCAGACAUCAGGCCUGUAAUUGUGGUCACCCUGGCCACAGCCAAGUUGUCACCUUCACUCACGAUCAUCUUUCUGCCCUCUGCUACUUGUAGAAUAAUGAUCAUAAAGUAUUGUUGUCUGAAGCCCCUUUAGAAAAGUUGAUUUACAGCAGCCCAUGAGAGAGGUAGAUUAGAGAUGACCAAUGUCCUGAGAACACCAAGAAGCACUCAUCUUUGAUUCUCAGGGCUUGACAUUUCAGAAACAAAUCCAAGACACAUUAUAAUAAUGACCCUGGUCCAUUGUGAGCCCAUUAGAAAACACUCACAAAUAAGUAUUCAAAAUUUUCCAGUUAUUUUGACUCCUAAAAAUGUCUUCCAAGAUAUAUCAAAGUUUCCGUAAUUUUGCAAUCAACUUGGUUUUUAUUUAAACCAAGUAGCAACUCUCUCUGUAGCAACCCUGACUUUUCUUGUUAUUAAAUCACUCUAUAAUUAAAGUUAUUGGUGACAUUCACAGAAAA